rnacentral:lncRNA from 1 species
CAAAACACACAAAAGCCCAAAUCUUAAAAGGCCCAAAUCUAAAACACGACCCGACCCGACUUAUGUGAAGCAAUAGAUCAACGAUCUCCAUAUCAAGAGCUCUGAUCAACAAUGGCCGCCACAACAUCCUUGGACUCCUUCAGAAGCUUGAUACUGUUCUUAAGCUUCUCCCUCUUGCUCGCCACCGACGGAUACUCCUCCAGCAUCUUCUCAACUACUCCUCCACUACUUGAAUUCACCAAUUCCGCCACGAUCUCCUCAUGUAAUUGAAUGUUCACAAGAUGCCGACAAUGUCACCAUCAAUCAAACUUAGCAGUGGAUGAGUCCUGAAGAGAGACCUUCAGGAGCCAUGUCAGCCUUUGUCACAACAGCCAGAGUCCGUUCACCAGUUUUGUCAACUUGUCUUGACAUGCGAAUGGAUUCGCAUGUGGUGAAGUCGACCGUAGCUGACAGAACAUUGAGGAUUAUUGAUUCUUGAGGCUCGAUGUACUUCAUGAUCAUCCUAGAAAUCUGUUCGUAAAUAUUCUCCGGUUGUCCAUUCACUGGAACUCGAGUUAUACCGGGAAGAUCGACCAUCGUAAGAUCUGGGACAUUGUUCUUCUUAACACUGAGGGUCAGGGGAGUGUCUGAAACUCCUUCACCAGUUCCUGCAGCACAGGUAGACAAAACUGCAAAACACACUUAACACUACACUGAGAAGGAGAGAGAGAAAACUUACCAGCAAUCACAUCUGUUGCAGCACAAAUAGCUUCAGCGACGUGUUCUUCAUCUGUGGGAACAACUUUGUCACUGUAUUCCAGCCAAAUCUCUGGUUCAGGGCUGGAGCUUCGCUGAAGCCUCAUGACUAGAGGAACCCUAGUGCAGAUUCCUUGUCCACGAGGCAAAUUGAUUCCUGCCAACGACUCAAGAACACUCGACUUCCCUGAAGACUGGUCUCCAACCACCACAAUGGUGGGAAGCUGGAUCCCUUCUCUCAUCACAUUCAGGUUUCUCAAUCUGUCGACAGUGUCAAGCAAUGGCCGGAUCCGGUCAUUGUAAGAUGAUACAAUUGGUGCUUCAAUGGGUGUGUUGACUAUAGAAAGAGAAGACAUCCCAGCUUCGACAUCAAUUUCAUAGUCAUUGGACAUCUUACUGCCUCCCAUUUUUGCACGAGUAUAAACAAAAGAGAGUGAGAGAGGAAAUAAAGGAUUAGAUGCAGAGAAGAAAAGUUUUUAGUGAGUGAAGAGACUCAUGUUGGUGGUGACAUUUAUAGAUUGGCUUGUGGUGACCUUUGGUGUUUUAACUUUUACAAAGAAGAAGUUUGAAAGUUUUUUUUUUGGUUAAAUGUAGAAGUUUGAAAGUUCUUCAUUGUUUUAAGAACAAGAGAUAGAUGUAAAUGUUGACAUCUGAGGUUUGUAACUUUUACGGAGUACAAGAGAUAAAUUUAACUGUUAAAUUACUAUUUUCUAUCUUUGAUUUUUUAGCCGUCAAGGACUUUGUAGUUUGAACCACGAUAGAUUGCAAG